rnacentral:rRNA from 1 species
AUUGAACGCUGGCGGCAGGCCUAACACAUGCAAGUCGAACGAGUGGCGGACGGGUGAGUAAUGUCUGGGAAACUGCCUGAUGGAGGGGGAUAACUACUGGAAACGGUAGCUAAUACCGCAUAACAUCUGAUGUGCCCAGAUGGGAUUAGCUAGUAGGUGGGGUAAAGGCUCACCUAGGGGACGAUCCCUAGCUGGUCUGAGAGGAUGACCGGCCACACGGGAACGGAGACAAGGUCCAGACUCCUACGGGAGGCAGCAGUGGGGAAUAUUGCAAAAUGGGCGCAAGCCUGUGGCAGCCAUGCCGCGUGUAUGAAGAAGGCCUUCGGGUUGUAAAGUACUUUCAGCGGGGAGGCGUUACCCGCAGAAGAAGCAACGGCUAACUCCGUGCCAGCAGCCGCGGUAAUAC